AUUGAACGCUGGCGGCAGGCUUAACACAUGCAAGUCGAGCGGAGAUGAGGUGCUUGCACCUUAUCUUAGCGGCGGACGGGUGAGUAAUGCUUAGGAAUCUGCCUAUUAGUGGGGGACAACAUUCCGAAAGGAAUGCUAAUACCGCAUACGUCCUACGGGAGAAAGCAGGGGAUCUUCGGACCUUGCGCUAAUAGAUGAGCCUAAGUCGGGUUAGCUAGUUGGUGGGGUAAAGGCCUACCAAGGCGACGAUCUGUAGCGGGUCUGAGAGGAUGAGCCGGCACACUGGGACUGGGACACGGCCCAGACUCCUUCUGGCGGGGGCAGGGGGGAAUAUUGGACAAGGGGGGGAACCCUGAUCCAGCCAUGCCGCGUGUGUGAAGAAGGCCUUAUGGUUGUAAAGCACUUUAAGCGGGGAGGAGGCUACUGAGACUAAUACUCUUGGAUAGUGGACGUUACUCGCAGAAUAAGCACCGGCUAACUCUGUGCCAGCCGCCGCCGUAAAAC
rnacentral:rRNA from 1 species